rnacentral:rRNA from 1 species
AAUGAACGUUGGCGGCAUGGAUUAGGCAUGCAAGUCGCACGAGAACCCAAAUAGCUUGCUACGAGGGGGACAGUGGCGAAAGGGAGAGUAACGCGUGGUUACUUGCCUUCGAGACCGGGAUAGCGUCGGGAAACUGGCAGUAAUACCGGAUAACAUCUACGGAUCAAAUGGUGUGAUUCCGCUCGAAGAUAGGACCGCGUACUAUUAGCUUGUUGGUGAGGUAACGGCUCACCAAGGCUGCGAUGGUUACCGGGUGUGAGAGCAUGGCCCGGCUCACUGGGACUGAGACACUGCCCAGACAUCUACGGAUGGCUGCAGUCGAGAAUCUUCGGCAAUGGGCGAAAGCCUGACCGAGCGAUGCCGCGUGCGGGAUGAAGGCCCUCGGGUUGUAAACCGCUGUCAGUUGUUAGGAAAUGCAUAGGGGUCAUCCCCUAUGUUUGACCGAUCUUCAGAGGAAGGACGGGCUAAGUUCG